UACGUAGGGUGCGAGCGUUGUCCGGAAUUAUUGGGCGUAAAGGGCUCGUAGGCGGUUUGUCGCGUCGGGAGUGAAAACACCGGGCUUAACUCGGUGCUUGCUUUCGAUACGGGCAGACUAGAGGCAUGCAGGGGAGAACGGAAUUCCUGGUGUAGCGGUGAAAUGCGCAGAUAUCAGGAGGAACACCGGUGGCGAAGGCGGUUCUCUGGGCAUGUCCUGACGCUGAGGAGCGAAAGCUAGGGGAGCGAACAGG
rnacentral:rRNA from 1 species